rnacentral:rRNA from 1 species
GUUGAACGCUGGCGGCAUGCCUUACACAUGCAAGUCGAACGGUAACAGGUCUUCGGAUGCCGACGAGUGGCGAACGGGUGAGUAAUACAUCGGAACGUGCCUAGUAGUGGGGGAUAACUACUCGAAAGAGUGGCUAAUACCGCAUGAGAUCUACGGAUGAAAGCAGGGGAUCGCAAGACCUUGUGCUACUAGAGCGGCCGAUGGCAGAUUAGGUAGUUGGUGGGAUAAAAGCUUACCAAGCCGACGAUCUGUAGCGGGUCUGAGAGGACGAUCAGCCACACUGGGACUGAGACACGGCCCAGGCUCCUACGGGAGGCAGCAGUGGGGAAUUUUGGACAAUGGCCGCAAGCCUGAUCCAGCAAUGCCGCGUGCAGGAUGAAGGCCUUCGGGUUGUAAACUGCUUUUGUACGGAACGAAAAGCCGUGGGUUAAUACCCUGGGGUCAUGACGGUACCGUAAGAAUAAGCACCGGCUAACUACGUGCCAGCCGCCGCCGUAA